CUUCCUGCCACCACAGCAGCGGGCGCCCGGGAGGCAGCUCCGGCCAGACUAGGACCCCUGGCCCGGGGGAGAAGCGCUGCCUCCUUCCCUAAGCGAUCCCGGGAAGGGGGUGGCGCGUGGAUCCGACCCUGGGCCCCGCCCCGCGGCGCACGCCGAGCCAGCGGCCUCGGAGGGCGCGGCCACCGGAAUCCUUCUGGGGGCGGAUUAAAGAACCUGACUGCUCACCAGGAAUUCAGGUUCCUUAAGAUCUUGGCGCUUCAUCCUUAAAACCAUAAGAGCUGAUUGUUCCCAGAUCCUGACCCGAUGACAUUCCUUCCUCCGUUGUUGGCCUUGUCCCAGGCAUCUUUUCAAGAAAAGUAAUUAAACUAAGAGGAUUCAGUUUCCUGGGUCCUACAAAACAGAAGUGGUGGCCGCUGUAUAGCGAGCUCGUGGGGUGAGGGGGUUAGGGAAGGAGGACGUUGGCUACCAGAGAGGAACUCCGCUUCCAGA